GACGAACCGAGCGAACGUUGUUCGGAAUAACUGGGCUUAAAGGGCGCGUAGGCGGGCCGCCAAGUUCGAGGUGAAAUCCUCCGGCUCAACCGGAGAACUGCCUCGAAUACUGGAGGUCUCGAGGGUGGUAGGGGCAUGCGGAACUGUGGGUGGAGCGGUGAAAUGCGUUGAUAUCCACAGGAACUCCGGUGGCGAAGGCGGCAUGCUGGACCACAUCUGACGCUGAGGCGCGAAAGCCAGGGGAGCAAACGGG
rnacentral:rRNA from 1 species